rnacentral:tRNA from 1 species
AAGUAAGAAACAAAUUAAUUGUAAUCAGUUUCGACCUGGAAAAAAGAUAUUAUAAUAUCCUUAUUUA